rnacentral:rRNA from 1 species
UACGGAGGGAGCUAGCGUUGUUCGGAAUUACUGGGCGUAAAGCGCACGUAGGCGGCUUUGUAAGUUAGAGGUGAAAGCCCGGGGCUCAACUCCGGAACUGCCUUUAAGACUGCAUCGCUUGAAUCCAGGAGAGGUGAGUGGAAUUCCGAGUGUAGAGGUGAAAUUCGUAGAUAUUCGGAAGAACACCAGUGGCGAAGGCGACUCGCUGGACAGGUAUUGACGCUGAGGUGCGAAAGCGUGGGGAGCAAACAGG